UUUAAAUAUUAUAAUAUAAAAAGUAGUAUUAUUGGAGUAGCACUACAUAAAAUAUAGUAAAAUUGACUAUAUUAUAUAUUUAAAGAUAAUAUUUUAAUUUUUUUACAAAAGUAAUUAUCGGAGCAAGUUAUUGAAACCUUUAGUUCAUAAAUAAAAAUAGCUACAGCAUAUAGUGGACAAUAUCUAAAUAUGUUUUUCUCUGAACAGUUUGAAA